CUGCAGCCAAUUAAGCCGACUGUCCUCCUUCCUUGUGGGGCCAGUAUGCAAAGGCUGCAAACAGUAAGCCUCCUCGGUAGUGUAAGCAGCCUAUUGGUAUGUAUAGGCUGCCCUAAGGGACCUUGGAGACAACC
rnacentral:snoRNA from 1 species